rnacentral:rRNA from 1 species
AUGGGGAUGCGUCUGAUUAGGUUGUUGGCGGGGUAACGGCCCACCAAGCCCACGAUCAGUAGGGGUUCUGAGAGGAAGGUCCCCCACAUUGGAACUGAGACACGGUCCAAACUCCUACGGGAGGCAGCAGUGAGGAAUAUUGGUCAAUGGACGUAAGUCUGAACCAGCCAAGUAGCGUGCAGGAUGACGGCCCUAUGGGUUGUAAACUGCUUUUAUAUGGGGAUAAAGUGAGGGACGUGUCCCUUUUUGUAGGUACCAUAUGAAUAAGGACCGGCUAAUUCCGUGCC